AACGAACGCUGGCGGCAUGCCUAACACAUGCAAGUCGAACGAUUGCCUUCGGGUGAUAGUGGCGCACGGGUGCGUAACGCGUGGGAAUCUGCCCUUAGGUUCGGAAUAACAGCUGGAAGCGGCUGCUAAUACCGGAUGAUAUCGCGAGAUCAAAGAUUUAUCGCCUGAGGAUGAGCCCGCGUUGGAUUAGGUAGUUGGUGGGGUAAAGGCCUACCAAGCCGACGAUCCAUAGCUGGUCUGAGAGGAUGAUCAGCCACACUGGGACUGAGACACGGCCCAGACUCCUACGGGAGGCAGCAGUGGGGAAUAUUGGACAAUGGGCGCAAGCCUGAUCCAGCAAUGCCGCGUGAGUGAUGAAGGCCCUAGGGUUGUAAAGCUCUUUUACCCGGGAAGAUAAUGACUGUACCGGGAGAAUAAGCCCCGGCUAACUCCGUG
rnacentral:rRNA from 1 species